UCCGGUUUGUCACCGGCAGUCUCCCUAGAGUGCCCUUGCGUAGCAACUAGGGACAAGGGUUGCGCUCGUUGCGGGACUUAACCCAACAUCUCACGACACGAGCUGACGACAGCCAUGCAGCACCUCUACCGACGUCCCUUGCGGGAGGACCCCUUCUCGGGGGCUUUCAUCGGCGGUUCAAACCCAGGUAAGGUUCUUCGCGUUGCGUCGAAUUAAACCACAUGCUCCACCGCUUGUGCGGGCCCCCGUCAAUUCCUUUGAGUUUCAGCCUUGCGGCCGUACUCCCCAGGCGGGGCACUUAAUGCGUUAGCGCCGGCACUCAGAGGGUCGCUCCCCCAAGCACCUAGUGCCCAUCGUUUACGGCGUGGACUAC
rnacentral:misc_RNA from 1 species